rnacentral:rRNA from 1 species
GAUGAACGCUGGCGGCGUGCCUAAUACAUGCAAGUCGAGCGAACGGACCAGAAGCUUGCUUCUCUGCUGUUAGCAGCGGACGGGUGAGUAACACGUGGAUAACCUACCUAUAAGAGUGGGAUAUCUUCAGGAAACUGGAGCUACUAACGGAUGAUAUUUUGAACAGCAUGGUUCAAAAGUAAAAGACGGUAUUGCUGUCACUUAUAGAUAUAUCCGCGCUGCAUUAGUAAGUUGGUAAGGUAACGGCUUACCAAGGCAACGAUGCAUAGCCGACCUGAGAGGGGGAUCGGCAACACUGGAACUGAGCCACGGUCCAGACUCCUACGGGAGGCAGCAGUAUGGAAUCUACGGCAAUGGGCGAAAGCCUGACGGAGCAACGCCAAGUGAGUGAUGAAAGACCUCGGAGCGUAAAACUGGGUUAUGAGGGAAGAACAUAUGUGGAAGGAACUGAGCACAUCGUGACGGUACCUAAUCAGAAAGCCACGGCUAACUACGUG